UUGACAUGUAAAUUUAACUAUCAUAGGAUCCAAUUAUUAUUGCUUAGGAAAAUUUGUCCUCUGAAGUGUAUUCAGCUGAUCAGUGUCAAAGAAGGGAUUAGAGCCCAGGAAACUGACUUAAAGCUUGCAUUUUUAACCAAGAAUUUAUGUAAUUUUGUCUUUUUUCUAUAUUUAUUGAUUCAUUUCUUUAUUCAGGCACAGGUACUGGAAACCUCUUAGAUGGUAGGUGUGGCAUUACCUUCUGCAAAACAGUAAUCGAAGUACACAACAAUGUAUUUAGUAUAUUGAGUUAAAUAUGGUUACUGUGCAACAUACUAUAAUAUGUGCAUUGUAUUUUAGAUGCAACCUGUUACAUUCUAUACACCUUAAUAAAUUCACAGAACAUUUACAUAUGAAGAAAUCAAAACAACAUGUGGUCGUACAUGGAAUGAAGGCACAAUGAAGGCAAAUAUUGUAGGAACAGGUGGCUUAGGGAAAGCACUUAGGCGGUGACACUGAGAUUUGAGGGAGAGAGAGGACUGUGUAAGGAGAGGCACAGAGUGGAGGCAGGACCAAAAGGCACUAAGCACUGUAGCUAUUGUUAUCCUGUUCCUGCCCCGCUCCUGUGGCCCUCAGACCCAAGUAAACACACAGAGACUUAUAUUAUUUACAAAUUGUAUGGCAUAAUGGCUCAGGCUUCUUGCUAGCUGUUUUUAUAUCUUAAAUUAACCCAUUUCUAUUAAUCUAUAAGUUGCCACGUGGCUUGUGGCUUACCAGUAUCUUUACAUGUUGCUUCUCAUCAGUCUCCCUGCCUCAGGCUUCCACUUCCCAGAAUUCUCCUCUCUCUUUGUCCCGCCUAUCCUAUACUUCCUGCCUGGCUACUGGCCAAUCAGCGUUUUAUUUAUCAAUCAAUCAGAGCAACACAUAUAGAGAACAUCCCACAGCAAAGCACAUAGCACAGGAGGACAAACUUAUUUUUUUUAGUUAGCCAGGAGUUGCCAUUUAUGUUUCUUGAAGAAAAGUGAGCUGCCUUUCUCCCCCUCCCCUCUGUUUCUCCGUCCCUCUAUCCCUCUUUCUGUCUCUCUCUCUUUUUGUAUCUCUCAUCUUCACUGAACUCCCAAUCACUUAGAAAAAAAUGAUGUAAGCUUUGUUCUUUAUUAAAAUAAUAAAAAAUAGAAUUUAUCUUGGUAGUCCAAAUCUCUCACAACUCAUUACCUCUAUCAAAGACUGUGACACUGAGUUACAUAUUUCCUGUUAUUUCAAACACUUAUCCUUUGGUGAUGGUAUUUUCAAUUAUUAAUGCUUUUCCUUUUCCUUUUUCUGAAUAGAUAAUUGGGAACAGUUGUGACUAAGUGCAGGUAGGCUAAGGAAGAGCUUGAAGACUGGGUUGAGACCUAAGCCCAAGCAGUGGAUGCUGCUGUUGACCACAGGGGAAACAGCUGCCACAAACAGCUCCUGCUGGCAGCUGGCAUUAGAAGGGGGGGAAUCUUGGAGUUCAUUUGAACAUAACUAGUGGGCCAUCUGGAGUGCCUUACCAAAAGGUAAGGCUGAGAAUCAUGAUUAAUAUUGCAAAAAGGAAGGUGUGCAUAUGAGCAUGUGUGCAGUCAGCAUGCAAUGUCUUAGAGGUAUUUUAUGUCAUGAACCAACAUCUAAAGGAAUGUUAAUACAGAACAGAGGGAUCUAUUAGCUUAAAUAUUUAGUAAAGCAUUGAUCUUUGAAUUGUGUUUUAAAAUUUAGAAGGAACAGUAAUUGUGUUUGGAAUGGGUUUAGAGGAAAUCCAUCAGUGAAGAUGUGUGAAGUAUUUGUACACAUAUCUCAAUAGUCUAGAAAAUGUGAUAUAAUCAAAUCAACUAGUCUAUCUAUCUAUCUAUCUAUCUAUCUAUCUAUCUAUCUAUCUGUCUGUCUGUCUAUCUAUCUAUCUAUCUAUCUAUCUAUCUAUCUAUUUCCCUCCCUCCGUCUGUCCCUCCCUCCUAACCUACCUACCUAUCUAUUUAUCUACAACCUGGAGAUGAUGUACAAUGGUAAGAAUAGCUCAUAAUAAUUUACUUGAACCUUUUGGUAAAGAAUAAUUCACAGGUUCAUUAGAGGUUAAUAUGGUCUUUGCACAUUCAUAUUUUUAGACUCCAAGAGUAGCAUGACUAUUGAUGUUUUUUAUAACAUCAUUUGCUUUACUAAGCUACAGUUUCUUUUGUAUGUAUAUGUAUGUGCACUGUGUAUGUGCAGUACACAUGUGUGUGUUUGUGCUUAUGUAUGCCACAGUCAACCUCAUAUGUUGUUCCUUAGGCACUGUGCACCUUGUUUUUUGAGACAGUAUCUCUUAAUGACUUGGAGCUUUGAGUAUUCUAGAAUGGCUGACUAGUGAACCCCAGGGUUCCCCCUGUUUCUACAUUCUCAGUGCUAGGAUUACAAGCAAGCACUAAUAUGUUUGGCUUUUUGACAUAGGUCCUGGGGAUCAAACUCACAUUCUCAGGCUUAUGUAGAUAGCACAUUAUUUCAGAGCUACAAUUUGUCAGCAACAUGAAGGUGUUUCUACUUCAUGAAAUGUAUAUAGCAGAGGAAUUCAUUUAUUUAAUAGUAAGUUGAAAAGUAUAAAGGCUCAUAACAAUAUAAGGAAUGGUAGUCAUUUUUUCAGGCCAUGUACUAUGGAACCUCAAUUAUAUGUGAGGGCAUUUGUUACUUGCUGGAACUAAGUGCAUUGACACAACUGACAGAGGAACUGUGGUGGUUUGAAUGUGAUUGGCCCCCAUAACCUCAUUGGGAGUGGUACUAUUAGGAGGUGUGGCUUGUUGGAGUGGGUGUGGCCUUGUUGGAGGAAGUGUGCCACUGUGGGGGCAGGCUUUGUGGUCUCUUUUGCUCAAGCUUAGCUCAGUGGGACACUAAGUCCAUUUCCUGUUGCCUGUAAGAUGUAGGACUCUCAGCUACUACUCCAGCACCGUGUCUGUCUGCACACUGUCAUGCUCCCCUCUAUGAUGAUAAUGGACUGAACAUCUGAAACUGUAAAUGAGCCACCCAAUUAAAUAUUUUACUUUAUAAGAGUUGCUGUGGUCACGGUGUCUCUUCACAGCAAUAGAAACCUUAACUAAGACAAGAAGUCUCUCUUUCUUUGAUGUCUUUGGAAGAAAUGAACAAAAUGCUAUUCCUCUAUAACCCUACUAUGGACUAUCUACAAGAAGAUAAAGGAAAUUAAAAAGUCACAUGAUGAAAUAUUCUGUAAACAAAGGACAGAUAUAAAGAAGCAAAAGAAAGGGGAAUUUAAAAAUGCUGGAGAGACAUUAGCAAAGCGAGAAGUGAAACAUGAGAAAUAUCAACUUGUCACAUUGUAGAUGAAUUUCUAAAUGGUCUUAUUAAAUAAAAAACAUGGAGCCAGAAAUUUGGGCUAAAGCCUUAGAGAGAUCAGGGAAAUGUGGAAAGCCACCAGCUAAACCUCACCUCACCAACUCUACAGCUUCCAAGAGCAUGACUUCCUGUCUACCCAGGCUUAUAUGACUUGCUUUUCUACCCUCUCAUUGGCUCUUAGCCCAGCUACCUCACUUCCUUUUCCUAUUCAGCUCUGUCACUGUCUGUCUGUCUGUACAGACCUCCAGGUCUCUAUGGUUGGUACUAGGAUUAAAGGCGUGUGUCACCACACUUGGCUCUGUUUCCUAGUGUGGCCUUGAACACACAGAGAUCCUGCCUGCUAAGGGAUUAAGGGCAUGUGCUGCCUGACUUCUUGUUUACUUAAAAUGGUUGGCCUCUUCCCCCCAUCUCCAGGUAAACUUUAUUUAUUAAUGUACAAAUAAAAUAUCACUACAUUUCAGCACAAAUGAAAUAUCACCACAUCACAUCACAAAUAUUUUCAGGUUUUUACCAAAAGUGGUAAGUUAAAGGGUUAGAAAGUGUUACAGUCAUAUUCCCUGCAAAUUUUGGAUUAAAGUUCAGUAAAAAAAUGAAAAACAAACCUCUUUAAUUAUUAUAUCCAAAUUCAAACUCUAAAUUUUAUUCCAAUUCUAAGAUAUAUUUCUAUCUUUAAGAUAUACUUUCAGUCUUGAAGAAACACUUAUUUCUUCUAUAAACACAAGUUGACUUUAAAGGGAAACGAGUUACAGGAUAGUAGGUGGAGACAAGGGAAGUUAGUCUGUGUUCGUGGUGGGGGGAGGGAGGCAAAUACAAGCAAGGGGCAAUGAUAUACGUGCGUAAAAAUGGCAGUAAAACCCAUUAAAUUGUACACACGGGCUAAAAUUAAUGAUAAAGAAGUGAUUGACUGAGUUAUGAAACACCUAGAAAAUAAAAUGCAAUUCAGCUUCGAAACAAGAGACAAAAUCCCCCAUCCAGUCUGCUUCUAAACUUUAUUCUGAGCCUGUCUUUUCAGUGACUUUGGAAAAGGAAGUCUUGGCUUUGGACUUGGAGAAAGGUCAGCUGCUGUUGCAGAAAGGGGGCUCAUGCCUGUGUGACAGAUUUCCAGCGGUACAUGGGGACACAGGCUCUGACUGAGACCUGACACCCCGGCUUCCUGUUUCUACUGAAUGAGUCCUGCCAGCUGAUACACUCAUCUCAAUGGUUUUGCAGGAGGAAGUCAGGAAAUGCUCCCCGGAUGUAUGGACACAGAGCAAAAGCUUGGAGGAACAGAGAGACCAGGGCCAAAGAAAUCACAAUGGAGGAUUAUCUACAGGGGAACAGCUUAUCUUCAGUUUAUGCUGCAGUCACGAAAAAAGUGAGAUGAUUUCUUCUGGAAACGUUGAAAAAAUAGUUGAUUCCUGAAUCAUUAGGUGAGGUGAUUUCACAUAUAAUAAUCUAUAUGUAAU